AACCUCUCCAAUGACU
rnacentral:miRNA from 1 species